UCCACCUGGAAAGUUCUGUGCAGAAGACCUUUAUCUGAGUAAAAGGUGGAGAAGAGUGCAGUUUCUAGCCAAUGAAUUCUGGCAAAGAUGGAAGCGUGAAUAUUUACUAAAUCUCCAACUAAGGCAGAAGUGGCAAAGACAAUCACGAAACUCACAAGUAAAUGAUAUAGUGAUCCUGCAAGAUGACAACUCACCAAGAAACGAAUGGAAGCUUGGCAAAGUCGUAGAAGUUCAGCCCAGCACAGACGGCAUGGUGAGAAAGCUGAAGCUACUUGUCAGUGACACCACAUUUGAGAAAGGAAAACUACAUACCAGAGCUACUUACCUUGAGAGGCCCAUCCACAAAGUAGUUACCUUAAUAGAAGCCAAAUAAGUUAUACACAUAACUUCACAUUCAUACAUACACAUUCACUUUUCUACACUCACUCAAGGUUUGUCUUAGAAAUCUCUCAAUUCAAGUUAAUGAGUGAUUUGGUGGGAGUGUAAGUGCUGUUGAAUUCAUGUUAAAAUGAAUCAUUCAUAAUUUAUGUUAAAUAGUUUAGGUAAAAACUUUAAAUGAGUAAACUCAUGUGUGUGUUUUAAGAUUAAACAUGGGUUAAUUUCAUAAUGUUUUUAUAAGUUUGUUUUAUCAGCGCUGUUAUGUUUCAGCCAGGAACCAAUGUUUGUACUUGUGUACCACUAGGGUAAAUUAAUCGAUGCUACACUCUGAAACUAGAUUGCAAAGCCUGAUCCAAGCGUGUCAAGAACCUCUCUUCAUGACAAGCGGCUAAUGAGUUCUCACGGCAUGAAAGUAUAAACGCCAUUAAGCGUGCAAAUGGAGUGUCAUGUUAAACGACAUGAGAGAAAGGACGAAAUAAAUGCCAGUUAAAGAGAAA